AUGGCCAGAGGUGGCGCCACACGGCGUCCCCCCAGGAGCCACGGGGACCCUGAACCGGGCGCGCCCCGGCCCGCCGCGACCGCCGCCGCGGCAGCGCGGCGCGGUCGGCGCAGUUGGUGGCAUCAGCUUCCCGCACCCUUGACGCGCUUCAUGCCCGCAAGCCCCGGGACCCUGCUUCUCUGGGUGACCUUCAUCAGCUUCCUGGUAUACUUCUCAUGGCCGUAUGUGGAGUUUCGUUUGGCGAAGCGCGGGAUGGAACGCUCAGUGACGCCACUUGAUGCGCCCCUGAUGAUGGAUCUUCCUCAGUUCCAAGGCGAACAUCAGGAGAGCUUGUAUUGGGGAACUUACAGGCCGAACUUAUAUCUGGGAAUUCGUGCUAGAACCCCACGAUCUCUCUUAGCUGGGUUGAUGUGGCUUGACAUGAGAAAUGGACAAUAUUCUCUUCGUCACACUUGCCAAGAUUUUGAUAAGCUUAUCAAGCAUGGGUGGGAGGCUCACAAUGGCAGGGACUAUGGACGUCAAGAGUUGAUUGAUCAUGCUUUACGUUUGACCACUAGCUUCCUCAAAGAGAAAGGAGAGGGAAGUGGCUACGGUGGAGAUUGGGUUGUUCGACUGGACGCACAGGACAAGAGGUCAAGUUUAAGUGAAGCCCAACAAAGCGCAACACAUCUAUUCUUCUAUAUUGCCGACGAAGAUAGAAAUUUGAUCACUGUGGGCUCACAUGAGACUUAUUUAAGUGGUCAUGCUCUUUUGGCGUUUGGGUUACAUGACGAUAUUGGUGGCUGGGAGCUCCAUUUGGGAUCUAAGGACAAUGUGGAAAUUCACAGAGCUGGGUUCCAGUCGAUCAACAUGCAUGAACUAACUGAUCUUGUUGAGCAAACACUAAGGAAAAAUGAAAUGCAAACUGGGAACCUUAACCUACCAGACAUGAUUGAAGACUCUUCAAAUAUAAUGAUCUAUCAGGUUUCCAUAAAACUUCCUGCCAUGAUAGACAUAGUGCUCUUGUCAGGAGCUGGCUUAGACAAUUCAAUGAUUGCAGAGCGUGUUAAAAGGCUGACAGGUCCCAUGCUGAGCAUGCGCCUUGAAUCAAAACAGAAGCAUUUUGAAGAGAGAUACAAUCACAUUUUCAAUGUCAAUAAUAAGAUCCUAUCCAAAGAACUAUCUGUUGGUAGAGUCGCCUUGUCAAGUCUUCUUGGUGGUAUCGGCUACUUCUUCGGGCAGUCAAAAAUUGCAUUCCCAAAAAGUUUCAUUCAAAAAUAUGGCGAUAAACAUAUUCCAUAUUGGCCUGCAGCGCUAUAUACAGCCGUCCCAAGUCGCUCAUUCUUCCCUAGGGGAUUCCUGUGGCACGAGGGCUUCCAUCAGUUAGUCAUUUGGCGCUGGGAUGCUCAGAUAUCCAUGGAUAUAAUUGGUCAUUGGUUAGAUCUAAUUAAUGCAGAUGGAUGGAUUCCAACAGACCAAAUCUUAGGAGCUGAAUCAUUAAGCCUAGUACCCGAGAAGUUUGUUCUGCAGGACCCUUCCAAUGGAAACCCUCUGACCUUAUUUCUUGCGAUACAUGACUUGGCAAGUGGCAUGCGUGCAAACCAGUUUUCGGGUGAGGAAGCUGAAAAAAUUUCCACUUUCCUUGAAAGGGCUUAUGUACGGCUGAAUUCUUGUUUUCAGUGGUUCAACAGUAGACAAUCUGGGAAGUAUGAAGGGACUUUUUUUUGGCAUGGAAGAGACAGUAUAACGAUACGGGAGUUGAACCCAAAGACAUCGACAUCUGGUUUGGAUGACUAUCCUCGUGCGUCUCACCCUAAUGAUGAUGAACGCCAUGUUGAUCUUCGAUGUUGGAUGCUUCUUGCUACAAAAUGUAUGCGGUUAAUUGCAGAAUUGCUUAAAAUGGACACCUAUCUUGAGAAGGAUUACUAUAAUCUGUCAAUUCAACUUUCGGAUUUUGGGACCCUUAACAAGAUGCACUUGGAUGUUAAAAGUGGUGGCUAUUUUGAUUAUGGUAAACAUACAGAAAAGGUUCGGUUGAGAUGGUAUGAAUUAGAAGGUAAGUAUGCCAUGAGACGGGUACUUUUAAGAGAGACAUUACAGCCUCAUCUGCAAUUAGUACCCCAUGUUGGUUAUGUCAGCCUUUUCCCCUUCAUGAUGGGGGCCAUUCCACCAGAAUCAUGGGUUCUUGAGAAGCAGCUGGACAUCAUAUCUGAUAGGUCUAUCUUGUGGACGGAUUAUGGCAUUCGGUCACUUUCUAGAACAAGUUCAAUGUACAUGAAGCGUAAUAUGCCACAUGCUGCUCCGUCUUGGAGAGGUCCAAUUUGGAUAAACAUGAACUACAUGAUUCUUUCGGCACUUCAUCACUACUCACACGCGGACGGCCCGUACAUGGGCAGGGCAGGUGAGCUGUAUGAUGAACUAAGAUCGAACCUGAUUCGGAAUAUUGUGCAUAAUUACCAUGAGACAGGCUUCUUCUGGGAGAAGUAUGACCAGAAGAACAGAGGCAAGGGGAAGGGCGCGAGGUCAUAUACAGGAUGGAGUUCACUUAUAGUUUUGAUAAUGUCAGAGUCAUACCUUAGCAUUGCCGACUUAUCCAAUUAG
rnacentral:rRNA from 1 species